rnacentral:rRNA from 1 species
UGGGAAUUUUGGACAAUGGGCGUAAGCCUGAUCCAGCCACGCCGCGUGAAUGAUGAAGGCCUUCGGGUCGUAAAGUUCUUUUAGUUGGGAAAAAGGGAAACUUGAUGGUACCAACAGAAAAAGCACCGGCUAACUCCGUGCCAGCAGCCGCGGUAAUACGGAGGGUGCAAGCGUUGCUCGGAAUCAUUGGGCGUAAAGCGCGUGUAGGCGGUUUUCUAAGUCUGAUGUGAAAUCCCGGAGCUUAACUCCGGAACUGCAUUGGAUACUGGAAAGCUAGAGGGCAAGAGAGGAUGGUGGAAUUCCUGGUGUAGGGGUGAAAUCCGUAGAUAUCAGGGGGAACAUCGGUGGCGAAGGCGGCCAUCUGGCUUGUGCCUGACGCUGAGACGCGAAAGCGUGGGGAGCAAAC